rnacentral:rRNA from 1 species
UAACACAUGCAAGUCGAGGGGUAAGGCUCUUUCGGGAGUACACGACCGGCGAACGGGUGAGUAUCGCGUUUGCAACCUACCUUUAACUGGAGAAUAGCCCGAAGAAAUUCGGAUUAAUGCUCCAUAAUAUCAAGAGAAUGCAUAUUCUUUUGAUUAAAGCUCCGGUGGUUAAAGAUGGGCAUGCGUGCCAUUAGCUUGUUGGUGAGGUAACGGCUCACCAAGGCAACGAUGGCUAGGGGUUCUGAGAGGAUGAUCCCCCACACUGGUACUGAGACACGGACCAGACUCCUACGGGAGGCAGCAGUGAGGAAUAUUGGUCAAUGGGCGAAAGCCUGAACCAGCCAUGCCGCGUGCAGGAUGACGGCGCUAUGCGUUGUAAACUGCUUUUCUGCUCCAAGAACCCCCCGAUCGUGAUCGGGGUUAACGGUAGAGCAGGAAUAAGCAUCGGCUAACUCCGUGCCAGCAGCCGCGGUAAUACGGAGGAUGCAAGCGUUAUCCGGAUUUAUUGGGUUUAAAGGGUGCGUAGGCGGGAUAAUAAGUCAGUGGUGAAACCCUGCGGCUUAACCGUAGAAUUGUCAUUGAUACUGUUAUUCUUGAGUUCAGUUGAGGUGGGCGGAAUGUAUAAUGUAGCGGUGAAAUGCUUAGAUAUUAUACAGAACACCGAUUGCGAAGGCAGCUCACUAAGCUGAUACUGACGCUGAGGCACGAAAGCGUGGGGAGCGAACAGGAUUAGAUACCCUGGUAGUCCACGCUGUAAACGAUGAUCACUCGCUGUUGGCAAUACAUCGUCAGCGGCUGAGCGAAAGCCUUAAGUGAUCCACCUGGGGAGUA